ACACAAAAGCGCAUGUGCUGUGAGCUCGAUGAGUAGGGCGGGACACGUGGUAUCCUGUCUGAAUAUGGGGGGACCAUCCUCCAAGGCUAAAUACUCCUGACUGACCGAUAGUGAACCAGUACCGUGAGGGAAAGGCGAAAAGAACCCCGGCGAGGGGAGUGAAAAAGAACCUGAAACCGUGUACGUACAAGCAGUGGGAGCCCCACCACCAAAGCAUUCUCUGGUGUUGAAGGCCCUGCAAAGCAGCAUCGCGGUGGCGGAGCGUCGUUUGCGACGCCCAACACACAAAACAAGCGGUGAGUGCUUUGGGGUGGGGUGACUGCGUACCUUUUGUAUAAUGGGUCAGCGACUUAUAUUCUGUAGCAAGGUUAACCGAAUAGGGGAGCCGGAGGGAAACCGAGUCUUAAUUGGGCGUUAAGUUGCAGGGUAUAGACCCGAAACCCGGUGAUCUAGCCAUGGGCAGGUUGAAGGUUGGGUAACACUAACUGGAGGACCGAACCGACUAAUGUUGAAAAAUUAGCGGAUGACCUGUGGCUGGGGGUGAAAGGCCAAUCAAACCGGGAGAUAGCUGGUUCUCCCCGAAAGCUAUUUAGGUAGCGCCUCGUGAAUUCAUCUCCGGGGGUAGAGCACUGUUUCGGCUAGGGGGCCAUCCCGGCUUACCAACCCGAUGCAAACUGCGAAUACCGGAGAAUGUUAUCACGGGAGACACACGGCGGGUGCUAACGUCCGUCGUGAAGAGGGAAACAACCCAGACCGCCAGCUAAGGUCCCAAAGUCAUGGUUAAGUGGGAAACGAUGUGGGAAGGCCCAGACAGCCAGGAUGUUGGCUUAGAAGCAGCCAUCAUUUAAAGAAAGCGUAAUAGCUCACUGGUCGAGUCGGCCUGCGCGGAAGAUGUAACGGGGCUAAACCAU
rnacentral:rRNA from 1 species